rnacentral:rRNA from 1 species
UACGUAGGGUGCAAGCGUUGUCCGGAAUUAUUGGGCGUAAAGAGCUCGUAGGCGGUUUGUCGCGUCUGCUGUGAAAUCUGGGGGCUCAACCCCCGGCCUGCAGUGGGUACGGGCAGACUAGAGUGCGGUAGGGGAGAUUGGAAUUCCUGGUGUAGCGGUGGAAUGCGCAGAUAUCAGGAGGAACACCGAUGGCGAAGGCAGAUCUCUGGGCCGUAACUGACGCUGAGGAGCGAAAGCAUGGGGAGCGAACAGG